GAUGGACGCUGGCGGCGUGCCUAAUACAUGCAAGUCGAGCGAACAGACGAGGAGCUUGCUCCUCUGACGUUAGCGGCGGACGGGUGAGUAACACGUGGAUAACCUACCUAUAAGACUGGGAUAACUUCGAGAAACCGGAGCUAAUACCGGAUAAUAUAUUGAACCGCAUGGUUCAAUAGUGAAAGACGGUUUUGCUGUCACUUAUAGAUGGAUCCGCGCCGCAUUAGCUAGUUGGUAAGGUAACGGCUUACCAAGGCAACGAUGCGUAGCCGACCUGAGAGGGUGAUCGGCCACACUGGAACUGAGACACGGUCCAGACUCCUACGGGAGGCAGCAGUAGGGAAUCUUCCGCAAUGGGCGAAAGCUUGACGGAGCAACGCCGCGUGAGUGAUGAAGGUCUUCGGAUCGUAAAACUCUGUUAUUAGGGAAGAACAAAUGUGUAAGUAACUAUGCACGUCUUGACGGUACCUAAUCAGAAAGCCACGGCUAACUACGUG
rnacentral:rRNA from 1 species